UUGAUUCUACCUUUCCCCAAUUACUGUAGGUAAAAAGAAAUCGAAGAUUUUGUAAGCAUAACCUAGAUCUAGCACCUCCACUGAUAACAUAAGCUGAAAAACAAAAGAACACCCGCUGCUCAUAUGGGUGAGAAGAACAACACAGCCGCAAGGAGCCCUUUCAGGGCCAUAAGUGGCAAAACCACCAAUCUAGCACCACCACCAAAUGGGUGAGAUAAUAUCCACCGGAAGAGAGCUCCCAGCAGGACAAGAGGUUGUUCGUAAUGGGGACAGUGGAUUUAGGAAGAGAAAGAAGAGAGGAUUUUUUUUUAAAAAAAAAAAAAUUGAAGAAAUGCAAUAAUGUAUCUUUUUUUUUAAUAUGCAAAAAUGUAAGAAAAAAAAGUUCCCUGUAUUGUUUCAAAAAAAUUAAUUGAUCAUCUGUCU
rnacentral:lncRNA from 1 species